rnacentral:rRNA from 1 species
UGCCAGACUCCUACGGGAGGCAGCAGUGGGGAAUAUUGCACAAUGGGGGAAACCCUGAUGCAGCAACGCCGCGUGGGUGAAGGAGUAUUUCGGUAUGUAAAGCCCUAUCGGCAGGGAAGAAGCAAGACGGUACCUGACUAAGAAGCCCCGGCUAACUACGUGCCAGCAGCCGCGGUAAUACGUAGGGGGCAAGCGUUAUCCGGAUUUACUGGGUGUAAAGGGAGCGUAGACGGCGAUGCAAGUCUGAAGUGAAAGGCGGGGGCCCAACCCCCGGACUGCUUUGGAAACUGUAUAGCUGGAGUGCAGGAGAGGUAAGUGGAAUUCCUAGUGUAGCGGUGAAAUGCGUAGAUAUUAGGAGGAACACCAGUGGCGAGGGCGGCUUACUGGACGGCAACUGACGCUGAGGCUCGAAAGCGUGGGGAGCAAACAGGAUUAGAUACCCUUGUA